rnacentral:rRNA from 1 species
CGUAAAACCCUGUUGUUAGAGAAGAAAGUGCGUGAGAGUAACUGUUCACGUUUCGACGGUAUCUAACCAGAAAGCCACGGCUAACUACGUGCCAGCAGCCGCGGUAAUACGUAGGUGGCAAGCGUUAUCCGGAUUUAUUGGGCGUAAAGGGAACGCAGGCGGUCUUUUAAGUCUGAUGUGAAAGCCUUCGGCUUAACCGGAGUAGUGCAUUGGAAACUGGGAGACUUGAGUGCAGAAGAGGAGAGUGGAACUCCAUGUGUAGCGGUGAAAUGCGUAGAUAUAUGGAAGAACACCAGUGGCGAAAGCGGCUCUCUGGUCUGUAACUGACGCUGAGGUUCGAAAGCGUGGGUAGCAAACAGGAUUAGAUACCCUGGUAGUCCACGCCGUAAACGAUGAAUGCUAAGUGUUGGAGGGUUUCCGCCCUUCA